UUGAACGCUGGCGGCAUGCCUUACACAUGCAAGUCGAACGGCAGCAUGAUCUAGCUUGCUAGAUGAUGGCGAGUGGCGCACGGGUGAGUAAUACAUCGGAACGUGCCCUGUAGUGGGGGAUAACUAGUCGAAAGAUUAGCUAAUACCGCAUACGACCUGAGGGUGAAAGUGGGGGACCGCAAGGCCUCAUGCUAUAGGAGCGGCCGAUGUCUGAUUAGCUAGUUGGUGAGGUAAAGGCUCACCAAGGCGACGAUCAGUAGCUGGUCUGAGAGGACGAUCAGCCACACUGGGACUGAGACACGGCCCAGACUCCUACGGGAGGCAGCAGUGGGGAAUUUUGGACAAUGGGCGAAAGCCUGAUCCAGCAAUGCCGCGUGUGUGAAGAAGGCCUUCGGGUUGUAAAGCACUUUUGUCCGGAAAGAAAUGGCUCUGGUUAAUACCUGGGGUCGAUGACGGUACCGGAAGAAUAAGGACCGGCUAACUACGUG
rnacentral:rRNA from 1 species